GUUAGGCGUAGAGCUGAGACCCGCCGCUCCAGCAGGAUGGAUUGUCGCACUCUUGUGAUCACUCUCUUAGUGUGGUGCUUGGUGGCCGGCAUGGAAGCCUCGCCCUUCCCUGAGAGUUCCAGACCAGCGCGUUCAGCAGAUCUUUGGUGCUGGUGCGGAGACUACCCGUGCCCGUGUGACGUCGCGCCCAAAUACUCCUUCUGAUUGGCCGCCCUACGUGUACAUCAAAGAAAAUGAAUUGAAAGUGCACACCACAUUUCCUUUUUUUUUUUUUUUUUUAUCACAGUUAUGCAUGUAUACCUUAAGUCACAAGUUUUACUCAGCACACUGCAAUUAGUACUUUUAAUGUUCCAUCAGAUGUCAUAAACUAUUCAGCCUCAGUCUGUGCAAUUGAAAUUAUUAAAAAUUGUAAAGCGGCACUUGUCUUUCCAUAAAAAAAAUAUAUAUAUAUAUAAGCUUGAA